UUUUGUCAGCAUGAGUAACUGUUCCGUAGGUGAACCUGCGGAAGGAUCAUCAUAGAAUACUGCCGGCCUCGGUCGGUAAUGAGUGCACACUCACGCGCCACCCUUGGGUGGCUACCUUCAAAACCCAUUCUAGUCUGUGAAUGUAUGAUAUUUCAAUAACCGAAAAGUACAACUUUCAACAACGGAUCUCUUGGCUCUCGCAUCGAUGAAGAACGCGGCGAAAUGCGAUAAGUAAUGUGAAUUGCAGAUUUCAGUGAAUCAUCGAAUCUUUGAACGCACCUUGCGCUCCUCGGUCUUCUGAGGAGCAUGCCUGUUUGAGUGCCCAGAAAUUCACUCAACCUUACGUCUUUUUGUUGUGGGGUUGGAAAGGUGGGGGUUUAUCUUGUUGUCACUCAUUAGAGUGGUGACUCCCCUCAAAUGUGUUAGCUGGCCUUGUAUGGGGUCCUGCCACUGGCUUGAUAUAUUCGUACGUUGACGCCGCAGGUGGACCUUGGGUGGGCUGCUCACAGCCGUCCUCUUUUGGACAAUAUUUUCGAGCUUGGGCCUCAAAUCAGGUAGGAUUACCCGCUGAACUUAAGCAUAUCAAUAAGCGGAGGAAAUCG
rnacentral:rRNA from 1 species